UUGGCUUUCACAAAUAAUCUAGGUCGUUCUCUCCCCACCCUCCCCUAUUCCUUAGGAUCCACGCCGGCCGCCGCCCCUCGCAGUUGCGACCAACCCGCAUCAUGGCGCGCCGCCGCUCUUCACUCAACCGCGCUCCUCCAUCCUGGCGGCCGCCAGUACCACUCCCGUGUGACCCUGCAGCCCGGUGCGCCGCCUCUCGUCACCACUCCCCUGCAUGUGGUCCUCUCCUCCAUCUCGACGCGCCGCCAACAUCUCUCCCCUGUGACUCUGCAUCCCGGUACGCCGCCCCUCGUCACCCCUUCCCUGUGACCAUUGGCGAAUCCAAGGUACGCAGUGAAGGUGCCGGCCAAAGAUUUUGAUUUGUGUAUCCGGUGUUCCUACAUGAUGGUCUUGACUCUUGAGAGCUGAGAAGAUCUGUUUGGCUUAAGAAAAUUCUGUAGUUGUUUCUGCACCUAAGUUCAUGGUCAAGGUCUCAUGGAGUCCAAUGGAAUAAUGUUGGAAGCCCAUGGUGUCCAUUGAAUUUUGUUCACCUGCUACUAGCUGGAUUCCAAGCAUUGUAGGUACUCCGGUGAGAAGUUCAUCAUACAUUGGUUUUCACCCUCGUAAAGCUGAUGAAUGUGAAUGAAGAUUAUGGAGAACUUUCUUCAGUAGCAAGGCCGACAAAUUUCAUAAUGUAGGCAGGGGUUUGGAAGUGCAUGCCGCAGUAUAUAUGGUGGAUUUGUGAAACUAUGUAUGGGAAAAGUAAGUUUCCAUAUGCUGCCGAGGAAUAAAUCAUACAUAACUUAUUGAUUUACACGUAAUAGGAAGUUGGUCUAACUCUCCUCUCACUUGAUUAUAUACUAUUAGAAAGUUUGCUUAUAGCUGCAAAACACAGUUGACUGAAGGGCUGCAUGCCUCCACUAUCAUUCCGUGGUACCAUAAAUUUUCAGGUAUAUUGAUGCUGACAUGUGAUUGAGCAAUGGCCCAUAUUACAAAUCUGCAACUUCAGACCACAACUUUUGCUUCUCUAACAUGUGUUUGUUGAUUGCGUUUUCUUGAAUUAAAAUUAUGCAUUCAACACCAUUGUCCACUAUAUAUAUUAUGUGGCACAAAAAUAUGUAAGUAUCCUUCUGUUUAAAUGUAGUUUGAUAAGUUUAUAUAGCUAUAAUUGACUAAAUUGUGUGAAGGCAGUGGCCAACUUCCAGACUUGUAUUUAUGGUCAUGGCCUAUUCAACACUACAGUGCUACAGUAAAUGGAGCUUUGGUUGUAUUUACAUCAUAUUGAAUCUCUUUCACCAGAUCCCAUGACUUUGAAAUCUUCCUUACCACCUCUCACUAAUCAUUUUUUAAGUGCUGCACAGUCUGAUCAACAAAAGGGAAGUUCGACAAUGAAGAAAUAAGCUACAUGCAUGCUAGAUGAGUUUGAACCUUGGUGGUUCUUCUAAAGAUUCAAAAGAAAACCUGAUUAUAAGGGUGCACGGAAAGUCUAGUGCAAUGAUGAUGAUGAUGAUGAUGUUACUAUUCAUGAUGAAGAUGAUGAUGGAUGCUUUCAAUAUUAGUUAAGCUAUUGGAUGAUGUUAAGUUUUAGUUAAGUUAUAGGGAUGUUGAUGGAUGCUUUCAGUUUAAGUUUCAUUGUCAAGAGAAUAUUUAGAUUAUGCAUCACAUUUGGGUGAUGUUCCUCCUGUAAUAUCCAGUAUUCUAAUCCAACAAUUUUAUUUGAUAUACAAUUUCUUCCUCCUGUGA